GGCUCCCUAUGACUCUACCAAGACAAGAUAACCUCUCCUAUCUAAGACAGAAAGACAUGGCAACUCCCUCCAUUCCUGCCUCAACUACCAUAACCGUUCUUCCCACCAACACAAAACCCUCAUCACUUCCUUCAACCCUCAAAUCCCUCUCCCUCUCAGGCAAGCUAGACGAGGCCCUUCACCUCAUCGAGUCCCACCCGCUAACCCCUCUCCCUCUCCAAACCUACGACGCCCUUCUCCACGCCUGCAUCUCCAGAAAAUCCUUACACCACGGCCAGAGGCUCCAGAACCACCUCCUUCUCCGCCACUCAACAAAAGGAAAAAAGGGUCGUGGUGGUACUCAGCAAAGCCUUCUGGAAAAACCCGCCUUGAAAACCAAGCUCAUCACACUCUACUCCGUCUGCGGCCGGAUCGACCUGGCCCGCAGCGUUUUCGACUCCGCCCUCGUCAGAACCGCUCCCGAGUCGGUGUGGGUGGCGAUGGCAAUCGGUUACUCGCGAAACGGGUGUUCGAAAGAUGCCCUGUCUCUUUAUGUGGACAUGUUAAGGAGGUUCGUGCAGCCGGGUAAUUUCGCGUUCUCGGCGGCUCUCAAGUCGUGCGCUGAGUUGGGUGAUUUUCAGGUUGGUAGAGCUGUACAUGCCCAAAUUGUUAAGUGUAAGGAUGAGUCGGAUCAGGUUGUGUACAAUGCUCUUCUUAGGUUGUACUUGGAAUGUGGGUGUUUUGAGGACGUAGUCCGGGUGUUUGCCGAAAUGCCUGAACGAAAUAUUGUUUCUUGGAAUUCGUUGGUUUCUGGGUUUGCAGGGAGAGGUCAGCUGUUUGAGGCUUUUGAUGCUUUUAGGAGGAUGCAAGGAGAGGGAGUGGGGUUUAAUUGGGUUAGUUUGACUGCAGUGUUGCCCGUCUGUGCUCAAAUAAAUGCACUUUGCAGCGGGAAAGAGAUACAUGCCCAAAUGGCAAAAUCGGUCACCAGGCCGGAUAUGUUUGUGUUGAACUCGCUGAUGGACAUGUAUGCGAAAUGCGGAGUGGUGGAUUACGCUAGGAGGAUAUUUGAUGGAAUGGAGAGGAGAGAUUUGACGUCGUGGAAUACUGUGCUUAAUGGGUAUGCCAUUGCCAGGCGUAUGGAAGAAGGAUUGAAGUUGUUUGAUAAGAUGGUUGAUUCUGGAUUCAGCCCAGAUACGGUCACGUUUAUUGCGUUACUAUCAGGCUGCAGUCAUACGGGGCUCACGCAAGAGGGCCUGAAAUUGUUUCACAGGAUGCGCACGGAAUUUGGAAUCUCACCAAGUGCAGAGCAUUAUGCUUGUUUGGUAGAUAUGUUAGGUAGAGCAGGGAGGCUCAAGGAGGCACUGAAAGUAGUGAAAAGCAUGGGAAAGAAGCCCAGUGGUAGCAUAUGGGGUUCGUUGCUCAAUUCUUGCCGCCUUUAUGGUAACGUUCCUCUUGCAGAGGCUAUUGCAAAGGUUUUGUUUGAGAUUGAACCAAAAUAUCCUGUUAAUUACGUGAUGUUAUCGAACAUUUAUGCAAAUGCGGGACUGUGGGAGGGUGUUAAGAUUGUGAGAGAGAUGAUGGAAAAGCGUGGCGUCAAGAAAGAGGUUGGAUGCAGUUGGAUUGAGAUAAAAAAUAGGUUACACACUUUUGUGGCUGGGGGGGGUAUUGAACUUCGUAAUUCAGAGAAGUAUCAAAAGUUGUGGAGUGAGUUGAUGGAAGCUAUGAGAGGAGUUGGAUAUAAACCGGAUACUAGAGUUGUGCUGCAUGAUGUUAGUGAGGAAAUUAAGAAGGGAUGGGUUUGUGGACAUAGUGAGCGACUUGCGGCCAUGUUUGGACUCAUUCACACUAGAUCUGGAAUACCACUUAGGAUCACAAAUAAUCUUCGUGUGUGUGCAGAUUGUCACUCUUGGAUGAAGGCUCUGUCCCAAGUUACUAGAAGAGUGAUAGUGUUGAGGGACACAAAACACUUCCACCAUUUUGAAAAAGGGAGCUGCUCUUGCAAUGAUUACUGGUGAUUAUAGCAGGUAAACUAUCAUUCGUCUUUUUUUUUUUUCCUUUCAUCUGCUAUUAUACUUCUUCUCUAUGAUUGAGCAUUACAAGUUCUUCCUAUUCAAGAGCUAUCUCCAUCCCAGGCUUUUCAAAUAUCCUAUCUUCUGCCUUUGUGAUUGAGUAUCCAUGUUUUCUUAAGAUGAAAAUGAUUACCAUAGAAACCGCCAGUACUUUAUCAUAGACAUUUAGAAUUGUGAGAGUUGAGCUCAAAGCAAAGGGAUAGAAUUUUCAAUGAUUACAAUGGUGGUACUGUGUAGGCCGGGUUUAGGACUCCUCUGUUGGCGAGGAUUAUGUUGGAAAUUCGUGAUGGACCAAAUACACACUUGAACAAGUAGGAGAGACAUGAGGGAGGAGAUAACAUACAACUUGUGAUAAAAUACCUCAACAAUCUUUAGCACACUUGACUACUUCUUUGUAGUUCAUCCACUCAACUCAACCUCACUGUUUCUACUCACUCUCACACACUUAUCACUCGAUUACAAAGGUAUUUGUAGCCUCCUAGUGAUAUGAACCUAGCCAAGUUCAUGAGCCUCUACAUUCAUGACCCUUCAUCUACAUACAUGAAUACUGUAACUACUAACUAGUCUCUUUAACUACAUGCAUGUUCCUAAAAUCAAGUUUACUUUCCAACAAAUUACUCUUUAAGUUACUGGUUGGAGGAUGAUGACUUUCCUUAUUAACCUAUGCUCUCUGCAAGACAGAAGACCGUUAGUGACACUCCGGCUAGUGUUGACGUCUGAAAAAUGUCCUCCAAGGUCAAAUCGAUUUCCAUUCAAAGGCAAACUGUGGGCAAGAAGAAAUCACAAUAGCAGUAAUCAAACUGUAAAAUUACCUUACACUGCUCUGGUUAUGACUUUUCCCAGAUGGAUUGUGUUCUGCGCUCCUCUGGUAUUUAUAGGCGAAUUGGCCCACUAUCUACCCUUGGUGACCACCCUUUUAACUAUGUUUAUGUGCUAUUGUUACGGUUUUUUAAACGAGAUACUUGUGUGCGGUUCUGGACCUGCCCAUGCGGCUACAUGCCAACCCUAACUUUUUCUCUGGCUGAUGUGAGUCAUGUGACUGUUGACAGUCGUUUUGGGGGUGCAUGUCACAAUCCCUCUCGUAUAUUGGCUGACCCAUUCUGCGGAGUAAAAUCAUCCUCGGCUCCAAAGAGUGAUCGGUCUGUUACGUUGUCUUGGGAAACUCAAAUCCCACAAGCUAGCUAUUGAAGUGAGGCGGUGCCCUCAUGCUUAUAUGCUUCACAUUAUUUAGACGAUUCUUUUCCUUUUCUGGAAAAUAAUUCUAAGCAUAGGGACAGAGGGCUAUUCUUUUUGAGAAGAGAGUUGUAGAAAUUUUGGAGGCAAAGACGUUAGUGUUGUGACAGAUAGAAUAUGUAUAUUACUGCAGGUAAAAUGGGAAGAUGAAAACGAACUGUUUAAAUGCUGGUUUACUAUUAAUCUUUCCUCUCCUUUUGGUAUCUACUGUUUAGAGCAUUCAAACACACAGGAUGCAAAUGUGACCUGAUCUGACUCCCAUAUCCCCCAUUGUAAUUCUUUUUUCUUUUUUUCCUUUUUUGGCAAUGUGCUAUUUUCGUUUUUGAGCAAAAGUCUGACCUGAUCCAAAAUAGUGGACUUUGUAAUGGCAUGUUGUCGGGUAAAUAUAAACUUGUCCGGCCUGGGUUCAUUGGUUCGGGCUGCAACAAUGGCUGGUUGUUAUUAAGGGUAUUAGUAAUUCUAGGCUCCUGGAAUCUCAAUCCCAGAAAUGGAUGUGGCACUCCAAGCCAUCCAGUGGAUCCUGCUCAUUCAAACUUCAAAAUACACUGCUGGAAACACCUUCCCCCUGUUUCUCUCUCUCUCUCUCUCUCUGUCUGUCUGUCUGUCUCUCUCUCUCUCUCUCUCUCUCUCUCUCUCUCUCUCUCUCUCUCUCUCUCUCUCUUUUAUUGUGACUGAAGGAGGAACAAGUCUCGGACCACUAAUGCCUACCAGCCUUUACAACAUCGCCGCCGGAAGCCUUGUUUGGACCCAUGAUAUCGCCAAGUAAAUUUAGUGCUUCAAUUCUAUGUCAUGUUCGAUUUUCUCUCAAGAAAACGUUGAAUAAUACUUGGAAUGUUGUUUCUAGUAUUGUAGAAUUGCAAAACAUGAAUUAUCGGUGAAGCUAAUGUCCCAAUAUUUUCAAGCUCCUAUGACUUGUCUUGCUAUCAAACAAUGAAUAUCAUUAAUGGCAGCAUAGAAAAUGAUGGCCAUACUAAGGAAUUUUAUGGUCCAUUGAUAAUUCAGUCAUUUUUCUUGUCUAAGAAAUCAAACAACGGACUAGAUUGUCCAAAAGUAAUACUGAGACAAGGACUUGGCUUAUUAUUUAGUACAUCACCUAUUAAUGCCGGAAUUAGUAACACCCCACCAUUGUGUCUGGCAAUCAAACGUGUCCUUACAGUUUGUUGGUAUUAAACAUUGGUCCAAUGGUGUGCAAGGUGAAAGAGCCACUAAUAAAAAGGAAGGUGCCACCGGAACUUCUCUCUUCACCACACAUUUCCGUCAUUUCAACCACAAAGUACGUGAAGCUCACUCAAAUAUGCGAUAGAGUGAGAGUAAUGACACCACUGGACAAUUCUAGAGUGUCAUGUGAAAGCACACACAAAUAUGCUGCAAGAUAGAAAUCUAUCUUUUGUGAAUCUAACUAGUCCUAGUAUGGAUGGCUUGCCUUUGACCUGACCGGAGAGAGGAAUAGUCGAGGUGCGUGUAAGAUAGUCCACACACCCCUGACUGUCAAAAUAAUAGAAUAAUCGAGACUUCUCAUUAAGGGUGCAAACGAGCCAAGCCGAGCUUUAUAGUAUUCAAACUCUGCUCGUUUACUAAAUGAGCCCAAUACUCGAGCUCGGCUCGCUUGUAAAUGAGCCAAGCCCUUAACAAGCCGAGUUUGUCCAAUUUGUCUAACGAGCCUCUUUAUACGAGCCGAGCUUAGCUUUUGAGGGUUGAACUCAGGUCAUUUAUUAAAUGAGCCUAAGACUCAAGCUCGGCUCGAUUAUUAAGCUAGCUGAGUCGAGCCUUGACGAGCCGAGCAACGAGAGCGUUUCUCAUCUCUAGAAAAUAUAGAAGUGGAAUAUGUCCAUUCCCACCUCAACUACCAUACCUGUCCCAACUAACACAACACCCACACCCCACACCCACAAACCCCUCUACUGAACCGUCAAAUUCAUCACUGUAUCAGGUGAACUAGACGAGGCCCUUCAACUCAUCGUAUCCCACCCAAUAACUAGUUGAGUUUAGUUCACCCUCCACUUAAGAGGGUAAACAUUAACCCCCUUAUUAGUUGAAAUGAUGUGGAUCCCACCACAAAGUGAUGUCAUGCUUACCAAAAAGUGUAUUGCAUGGUUUGGACGUACACCAUUUCAACCAAUAAGAGGGAGUGUAAUGUUCACCCUCUUUUAAGGAUGGUGAACAAAAUUGCACUCCCUAAUAACCCAUCGAAACCUCCUCGCCUAUGAAACCUCCUCCAAGCCUGCAUCGCCAAGAAAUCCGUACACCAUGGCAAAAGACUCCACGAUCAACUCCUUCGCUCGCAAGAGUGAAAGGGCGCCCACCACAACCUCCUCAAGAACUCCUCGUCGAAAUCCAAGCUCAUUACCCUCUAUUCUGUUUGCAAUCAAAUCAACCUGGCCCGCCUCCUUUUUUACAAUGGCAGGAUCGAAAUGAUUCCCGAGUCUGUUUAGGCGUCGAUGGCGAUUGGGUACUUGCGAAAUGGGUAUUUGAAGGAUGCUCUGUCUCUUUACCUGGAUAUGUUGAGGUUUUUGCAACCGGGUUAUUUUUUGUUCUCGGUUGAGCUCAAGUUGUGUGGUGAAUUGUUUAUUGUUCGGGUUGGGAAAGGGGUUCAUGCUCAGGUUGUUAAGAGUGAGGAAGGACCGGAUCAGUUUGUGUACAAUGGGCUUCUUAGGUUGUACUCGGAAUGUGGGUGUUUUGAGGACGUAGUUCACUAGUUCAGGUGUUCGACGAGAUGCCUGAACGAGAUAUUGUUUCUUGGUAUUCGUUGAUUUCUGGGUUUGCUGGGAGAGGGUCAGCUGUUUGAGCCUUUUGAUGCUUUUAGGAGGAGGCAGGGAGAGGGAGUGGGAUUUGAUGGGUUUACUUUUGACUGCAGUGUCACCCGUCUGUGCUUGAAUAAAUGCACUCUCUGGUGGAAGAGAGAUACAUGCCCAACAUCAAAUGGUGAAGUCGGUCGUCAGACCGAAUAUGUUUGCGGUAAGUUUGCUUAUGGACAUGUAUGCGAAAUGUGGAGUUGUGGACUACGCUAGGAGAAUAUUUGAUGGGAUGGGAAGGAGGGAUUUGAGGUCGUGGAAUGCUGUGCUUUACAAUAUGCAAUCGCCAGACGUAUGGAAGACGGAUUGAAGUUGUUUAAUGAGAUGCUUGGUUCUGGAUUCAGCCUUAAUACGGUCACGUUUGAUGCCUUUGUAUCAGGUUGCAGCUACAUGGGGCUCACAAAAGACGGAGAGACAUUGUUUCACAGAAUGUGAAUCGAAUUUGGAAUAUCACCGACACCGAGUGUAGAGCAUUAUGCUUGUUUGGUAGAUGUACUAGGUAGGGCAGGGAGACUCAAGGAGGCACUGGGAGUAGUGAAAAACAUGCAUCAGAAGCCCAGUAGUCACAUAUGGUGUUUAUUACUCAAUUCAUCCCACAUUUAUGUCGACGUUCGUCUUGCAGAGAGACUAUUUCAAAGGUUUUGUUUGAGAUUGAACCAAAAUAUGUAGAGAAUUACGUGGUGUUGUUGAACAUUUAUGAAAAUGCGGGACUAUGGGAGGGUGUAAGAUGGUGAGAGAGAUGAUGGAAAAGCAUGGCAUCAAGAAAGAGGUUGGAUGCAGCUGGAUUGAAAUAAAAAGUAGGUUCCACACUUUUGUGGCUGGUGGGGAUCCUGAACUUGGUAGUUCAGAGGAGUAUCAGAAGUUGUGGAGUGAAUUUAAGGAAGCUAUGAGAGGCGUUGGGUAUGAACCGGAUAAUGGGGUUGUGCUGCAUGAUGUUUAUGAGGAAAUUAAGAAGGCGUGGAUUUGCGGACAUAGUGAGCUACUUGCGGCCAUGUUUGGACUCAUUCACUCGGGAUCUGGAAUAUCACUCAGGAUCAUGAAGAAUUUUUAUGUUUGUGCAGAUUGUCACUCUUGGAUGAAGACUGUGUCCCAAGUAUUGAGGAAAAUGAAACACUUCCGCCAUUUUGAAAAAAGGGAGCUGUCCUUGCAAGGAUUACUGGUGAUAUCACCAGUUCCGACUGAGAACCUGCGAUUUCCUUGGAUUGCUCGUAAACUGCUUCAGCAUGCUUCAGCACAACAUUUACAUGAUCUUCAACAUUCUUUGUCAUUUUGGACACUUGUUGGGUUUGAACAUCGAUUGAAACCAAAGAAUCAUGUAUGUGGUUUGAACUGUAUACUUUUGGAGCACACUGUCAUGGCCAUGGUGUUUUAGUGAUGGAAUUCUAGCAAAAUUAUGCAAGGUGUUUCCAAAGCGCUAACCACAAUCCUUUGGACAGCAAUUAAGUUUCAAUCAUGAUGCUGGAAAAUUUGCAAAUUGUGUACAAAAUGUAGAAGGGUAUUGACAUCUGUAUACUGUUUAUUGAGGUUCUAACUCUUUAUUUUUUUAUUUUUUUAAUACAUAUUUUGCCCCUUAUAUGUAAAACAUUAAUAUGGUUAAAGGUGAAAAAUGCUUGUUGACAAAUACCAAAAGCUUCUAGAAAUAUGUCAAAGUGUACCAAAAUUCAUAUAAUUUUUACUGGAGUUCCAACUUUUUC